CACGUGAGAAUCUACCCUAAGGAGGGGAAUAACAGCUGGAAACGGUUGCUAAUACCCCAUAUGCCGAAAGGUAAAAGGAUUUAUCCACCUUAGGAAGAGCUCGCGCCUGAUUAGCUAGUUGGUGGGGUAAGAGCCCACCAAGGCCAUGAUCAGUAGCUGGUUUGAGAGGACGAUCAGCCACACUGGGACUGAGACACGGCCCAGACUCCUACGGGAGGCAGCAGUGGGGAAUAUUGCACAAUGGGCGCAAGCCUGAUGCAGCCAUGCCGCGUGUGUGAAGAAGGCUCUAGGGUUGUAAAG
rnacentral:rRNA from 1 species